rnacentral:rRNA from 1 species
UACGGAGGUCCCGAGCGUUGUUCGGAAUUACUGGGCGUAAAGGGAGCGCAGGCGGACGGGUCAGUCUGAAGUGGAAAUCCGGGGCUUAACCUCGGACUUGCUUCGGAUACUGCCCGUCUUGAGUUCGUGAGAGGAAGAUGGAAUUCAGGGUGUAGCGGUGAAAUGCUCAGAUAUCCUGAGGAACACCAGUGGCGAAAGCGGUCUUCUGGCACGAAACUGACGCUGAGGCUCGAAAGCGUGGGUAGCAAACAGG